rnacentral:lncRNA from 9 species
CGUCCUUUGCAAACUCGUCAAUCCUUAAUCCUUGCUUUGUCUUCCUUCCCGAACUUACGUAACAUACUUGCGUGCCUUUCCCUAUCUGCUUUUACAAAAAUAAACACCAUGAGGUUAGGGAGUUGGUCCAUCUGUUUGCUGGUGUCUUUCCUUUUGCGAACAGGACGUAGAAAGUUUCCUUUAAACAUUCGUUCAGUGACCAAGUGGUGUCGUGCAGUGGGUGUCCGUGUGUAAUGUGACUGCUUGGCAUGUGGAACAGUGGAGAGGGCAGGGGAGGGAUCGUACAGGCCUAGGUCUCCCCUGACUUCACGUGUAUUUUACCAAGGCUUUGCCAUGAUAUCUGGCCAAGAAAGUGCUCAGAAGAUCUUGGUUGAAUGAAUUUGAUUUGUUUUUGAAUUCCAGAUGGAGAAAGAAGUUCAGAAAAAGAGUCGGGUACAUGAGAGUGCUUAGAGAAAAUUCUGGGAGGACUCGUAGACUUUGAAGGAAGGAUAGAUUUGGCUGCUCAUAGAGGAAUCCUAGUGUCAUUUUUUUUUUUUUUCUUUUAAAGCUGGAAGGUCUAUUAAGAUGAUCUGGUUUGGGAGUUCCCUGGUGGCCUUGUGGUUAAAGGAUCCGGCAUUGUCACUGCAGUGGCUUGGGUCAUUGCUUUCUUGUGAGUUUGAUCCCUGGACUGGAACUUCCGCAUGCCAUGGGCAUGGGGGAAAAAAUCUCGUUCCGUCUUUCCGAUCGUGGAGAGGAGGGAGAUGGAGCUCGGAGCGGCAAAGGCCUUCAGCUGGUUUGUGUCAGAGCCGUGCCUGGAGUCCAGGUGUGUCGGUCCCUGCGUGGUCCGCUGUCCUCUCCGCGCUGUGAGAGCGAGACUGCGGUGGACAUCAGGCCCUCCCGGUUGAUCCGAGGUUGUGUGCGAGAUGCAGGGGAGCCGGGGAGCCGGGCGAGGGAGGACCGGAUCCUGGAGCGUCCUGAUGUCGUGGCGGGAGGAGUGUGAAGAUGCCUCAAGUCGUGGUCUGUCUUUUCUCCCCAGUGAAGGCGACACGAGAGGCAGCGUGGAACACGGAUUGGAGUCGAGCAAGAAACUGGAGCCUCGGAGGAUUACAGGCCCUCGUAGCAACCGAGGUAUUAGUGUGGUGAGGGCCUAGUAGCAUUUCAGCCUGUUUUCUGGUUUGGGAAAUGGGGACGUUUGAAGAUGACAGAAGACUCUUUGGUAAAGUAGGUGUCUCCAGGUUUCUAAGAGAGGCGGGAGUAAGAAGCCCGAAGAACGGCUCUUCCCCUCGUUCUGUAUGUGGCCAUAAAUGACAGUUUAGCAUCUAAGUGGUAGUUCCUCUUAAGGAAGCCGGGCCAGCUUAGGAAAGCAGGGAUAGGAGAAAACCCCGCAGAGGAGAAACGCUGAUGAGGAUGCGAGGGCUGAAGGGGCAGCUUCCGAGGGGGCCGAGCGGGUCAGGCACCCGGCAACCCCACCCUCCACCUGCUUCUCUUUUUAGGACGCAAGAAGCUGAUGGAGCUAAGACCUGGCUCUCGGGCCCACAAAGGCUUUGGGGUGGCUUGUGCUGAAGGCCAGGCCCCGGCAUGGAGUCCACAUCACUUCUCAGCCAGAGCUGUAGGGAGUAGAGGGAUACAGUCCUUCCAGGCCAGGGAAUUGGCACGGGCUGGGAUGCUUUAACAGCUUCUCCGUCUUCGGGAACCUUUUUCCAUCUCGAAGGGAAAACUUUAAAAGUCAGCAAGACAGGGAGAACACAGACCUUCAAAUAAUGGCUCACACCGGGUCGAAGACUUUGCGUUGAGAGAACGUCCUGGCGCAUUUAAAUUCAGCAGGUGCUUAAUGAGCAGGACCUGUUCCCCGCCCGAGUGUUGUGGUCACACUGUUAGCAUUCGAGUGCAUUAACAUUUGAUGCCACUCUGCACUAAGGUCUGAAAGCCCCUAAGGUCGCACGGCUCAGUGCACAAGCCCUCGUUCCGAGGUUCACCGAAGCGGGGUUCCCUUGUUGAGGGUUUGCCGCGUGACGGGCAAUCUGCUGGAGGCUCAGGCAGGUUUGAGGAGCGUGAGAACCGAGGCGGUCCUCAGCUGGGUGACUGGGAUUUUCCCCGAACAUCUGGCGGCUCCCAGUUUGCUGGGAUUCCCGGCCAAAGGCGAGUGUGGGCCUCGCGGUGUAAGCCCUGCAUUUGUUCUGCCCACAGCGGCCCCCUCCCCCCUCCCCCCUGUCCCGGGGCCGACUUUAAAUUGCAGAGAGAUGAAAAUUGGCUUCUUUGCAUUACCUUUGGGAAGGACAGCUUUCCUGAUGAAAGCUUUAAGUUUGAAAUCUCAGGAAGAGCCUUCUCCAAGGGUCUUUUUCUUUCUUUGGAAAGUUGCUUUGCCUGCCCUGUGAUACAGGGCACGUGGGGCUCAGUAUUUCUCAGGCUCUUCCCCUCUGCCUGCUUUGCUGGCUCUUUGGGGAUGCUGGCAGGGGCAUGUGUCUUGUUUUCUUAGAAUGAGCGACACGAAGUAGAGGGCGGCAGUCCUGCUGAAUUUCCCAUCACUUGGGGGCAGCCGCUCAGAGCAGAGGACGGAGGCAGAAGAGGGUGUUUCAUUGACCCUUCGCAUUGCCGUCUGGAGUGAGGUCGUCUUUCCCUCUUGUGCUUGGCAUCUGGAACCAGCUUGUACACGGUUUGAGGUUUGCUUGCUUCAUGUCUGUGGGCUCCUUUAAUAGAAAACUACGGAAUAUAAAAUUAUCUUUACCUUCAACUUUAAACUGGUGCCUUUGAAAACAUACUGUCGUGCAUUGUAGUACAUUAUAAAAACUUUAAAGCUUCACUUUCCCAACACCUGGAUGUCACCACUGUCUGGUGCACCCUCUUCUAGAACUUUCUCUAAGCUUCUCUGUGGUGUAGGUCGCAGAGGCGGCUUGGAUCCCGCAGUGUUGCUGUGGCUCUGGCGUAGGCCGGCGGCUACAGCUCUGAUUCAACCCCUAGCCUGGGAACCUCCAUAUGCUGUGGGAGCGGCCCCAGAAAUGGCAAAAAGACAAUAAAUAAAUAAAAUAAAAUGAUUUGAUGUAGUGAAGAUUCUUGGUCUUUUAACAAAACUUUUUACCUGUAGUGUCAUUUCUUAGAAGGAUCUUCCUUUAGCAAGAUUAGUAAAUAUUCAUUAUAUAUUCUCCUAACUUGUUUAUGCUGUUAUGUUUUGCAUUUUAAGAUUGACUCAACCCGGAAUUUGCUCUGUUGUGAAAUAGUAAUGAUAGCUACCAUUCUCGGGUGCAGGUCGUGUGCCAGGCGCUGAUUCCCGGCGCCUGCUUCUGUUGGAGACUCAUUUAGUGCUUUGGGCAACCCUGUGAUGUGGGCAUUGUUGUUUUCCCUGUUGGAGUCACUGCGAAUGGACUAAAGGUUGUCCAGCUAGUAAGUGGCAAAAAUAGAAUUCAAGUUCAGGUGGUUGAAUCCCAGAGCCCCUGCCCUUAACGACUCUGCUGUUUUUGCCCACAAGGAUUGUCUUACUGUUACUUGUUGAGGAAACCAUUCUUUCCCCACUGCUUUGAAAAUGCCAGUUUUAAUCAUAUGCUAAAUUCAUAGGUGUAUUUAGGUGUGUCUCUAGACUUUUGUUCCCGGAACGGUCCUGGUGAUGAUGCGACACUGUUUUAAUCUGCGUAGCUUAAAGACGGUAUGCGCCUCCUCUUUGUGUCCUCAGUGCCUCGCAGUGGCUGUCACCUCGUAGAUGUUUUAAUGAAUAUUUGCACAACGAUGUAAUCCUUGUAGGCUCAUGGAUAGAAUUCAGAGGGCCUGUGACUUGGGUAGGAAGAAUUACGUCACUUUCCCCGACCACUGAUUGAAAUUUAGUAUUUCUUUUAAUUAUGAGUAUAGGCGGGAGUUCCCACUGUGGGGCAGUGUGUUAAGAAUCUGACUGCAGCGCUCGGGUUGCCGUGGAGAUGUGCAUUUGAUCCCUGACCCAGUGCAGUGGGUUAAGGAUCCGGUGUUGCUGCAGCCACAAUGAAGGUUGCAGUUGCGGCUUGGAUUCGAUCCUUGGCCUGGGAACUUCUGCAUGCUGCAAGAGCAGCCAAACACACACACACAUGCACAGACACACACAGACACACAAAACCCCUCAUCACAUUUAACCAAUUAGCAAUAAUUCCUUUAUAUCAUCUGUUACUCAGGCCAUGUUCGGAUGGCCUCUAUUGUCCAAAGAUGUCUCUUAAACGGGAUGUGUGCGUGGGCACCUGUGCAAUGCCGCCAGAGUGCCCACUGGUUUGCCCUGCCUCUUCUGUAGAUGCCGGUGACACUGUAGAUCCCCGCUCACGUGUCUUCGAGUUCCGACACUUCCGCUCUCCUUCUCUGUCGCUUCUUACUUUUGUUACCGUUUUACUGAUGGCUUAUUCCUGACGGCUGUUCUUUCCCGAUUUAACAUUUUGGUUAUCUUUUUAAUAAGCAAUUGUUGAUUUGGGGUAUUGGAUCUUAUUUUUUAAACUUAAAGACUUAAGUCUCAUUUAAAGUUAUUCUUUGAGGUGUAUUUCGAACUGAGAUAUGUGAGGGGUAAAUUUCUUAAUUGCUUUUCAUUUUCAGAAGGAGUCAUCUCACCUUGUUAAAAAAUUUGAGGUAAAAUACUUUCUCAGAGGGUUUUUUUUCUUUUUUCUUUCUCUUUCAGGCCACAGGUACAGCAUAUGGAAGUUCCCAGGCCAGGGGUCAGAUUGGAGCUGCAGCUGCCGGCCUGCACCCCAGCAGUGCUGGUUCUGAGGUCUGUGACCUGCACCACUGCUCAUGGCAAUGGCAGAUCCUUAACCCACUGAGCAAGGCCAGGGAUCGAACCUGCGUCCCCAUUGAUAGCAGUCAGGUUUGUAACCUGCUGAACCACAUUGGGAAUUCCUGUCUGAGUUUUUUUAAUGGCGCUCUGGGCUUUAAUUGUAUCCUUUGCAAAACUGGAAGGAAUUCAAAUUUGGAUCUUCUCUAUAUGCCGUUUUUCUCUUUUCUUUCAUGUUUGAAAACGUGAUGGAGUUCCCGUUGUGGCUCAGUGGUUAACGAAUCUGACUAGGAACCACGAGGCUGUGGGUUCGAUCCCUGGCCUCUCUCCGUGGGUUAAGGAAUUCAAAUUUGGAUCUUCUCUAUAUGCCGUUUUCUCUUUUCUUUCAUGUUUGAAAACGUGAUGGAGUUCCCGUUGUGGCUCAGUGGUUAAUGAAUCCGACUAGGAACCACGAGGCUGUGGGUUCAAUCCCUGGCCUCUCUCCGUGGGUUAAGGAAUUCAAAUUUGGAUCUUCUCUAUAUGCCGUUUUCUCUUUUCUUUCAUGUUUGAAAACGUGAUGGAGUUCCCGUUGUGGCUCAGUGGUUAACGAAUCCGACUAGGAACCAUGAGGCUGUGGGUUCAAUCCCUGGUCUCUCUCUGUGGGUUAAGGAUCUGGCGUUGCCCUGAGCUGUGGUGUAGGUCGUAGGCGAGGCUUGGAUCCCGCAUUGCUGUGGCUGUGAUGAGGCCGGCAGCUACAGCUCCAGUUCGACCCCUAGCCCAGGAACCUCCAUGUGCUUCAGGCACGGCCCUAAAAAAACCAAAAAAAAAAAAAAGGCGGCGGGGGAGACUAUCAUAAUGUUAGUUUCUGGCUCUUAAUUGUCUUUAAGAUUCCCUAAGUCUUUUGUUUUUGGACUAUGCUCUUUUGACAUUUCUGAACAGUUUGCUUUUAUUACGCUUUUAAUCAUAGAUUUGAGGCCAUUUGUUCAAAGACUUGUGUUGUUUGCUGGCUGGGUCUCUGAGCCGCGUCUCUUCACAUGACCGUCGUUUUGUGCAUAUUCUUUGAAUUUCUCUAUUUCUUUCGUUAAAAAGAUCUCUGUAUGAUAUCUUUCUCUGAUUAGCUUUCUCUGUAGCAUCACUUCUGUUUUUAUUACAUUUAUCUAUUCAUUGAUUUUGUGCAGACCUUAUGAUUCCACUGUUUGCUUUGCAACCUGUGCUUAUGUAGUUAUGUCUGUUUCAGCCACUCUGAGGAGUUGAUUGAUUGUUUAUUGUGGGGAAGGCAUUCAUUGAAAGGAAUUGGCUUUGUUCUUCUUUCUACAAUAAGAUUUUUUUCUUGGACCGCAUACAUCUUUUUCUUAUUUGUUCAUUCUUGUACGUUUAGUUGCUAAUCUUCCUUCCAUGGUUGCAGACUGUUUCGCUUGUGCUGUGUUUACUGAGAUUUUUGAGAAGUCUUUCAAUAUAGAAGUUUCGUUUCAGGCUCAUUAUAAAGGUUGAGGAAUUGGAGGAAUUGAGCCCUUUUUUUUUGCAGUGUGAAACUAAUUAAUGGCCACAUUUGAAUUACAGACCCUCAUUUUGGAAAAUUACUUUGUGUGAGAGAAAUGAAACUCUAAGCUCCCCUUUCAUCUUUGUUAAGAUUAACUUGAAGGAAGAGCCCCUCCUAGUAGGAGACAGCCUUUCUAGGGACGUCAUUGGCACCCGAGAGACGCGGAAUCUGUCCUGUUUCUGGGGUGCCGGCCGAUGGGCGCCGAGGCCGCCGGGCCUGUGCGUGUGCAGCUGCGCCCAAGACGCCCCUUUCUCGGUCACUCUUCCCUCUCGUGCCAGAAGGAGGGCAUAGCGCCUCUCGUCCCGAAUCUGCUGUCUGUGUGCACACCUCCCCGUUGGCUAACAAAGGAAUGGUUAGAAAUACUUUUAAGAAAAUGAACGACGCCGAGUAACAAAUCCUUUUACAAAUCAGAUGGAUAUUCGUUUUUACUUUCAAGAGAACUGGAAGAAUUGUCAGUUGGUAGAUUUACAAAUAUUUUUCGAUGAUAGGUCACUGUGUAAUUUUGGGAUUUAGUUCAAGGUUCAAAGGCUGACUGAUACUUGACGCAACAAAAAUUUCCCUCAUUCCCAUCCUAGUUAUUUAUGUGAACAAAAUGUCUUGACACUUGUAACUAUAAAAACGGAAAAUUAAUGCAUUUACAGUAAAAUUUCGGAGUUCCCCUUGUGGUUCAGCAGUAACAAAUCUGACUAGGAUCCGUGAGGAUGCGGGUUCAAUCCCUGGCCUCACUCAGUGGGUUAAGGAUCCAGUGUUGCUGGGAGGUGGGGUGUAGGCUCAGAUCUGGCGUUGCUGUGGCUGUGGUGUAGGCUGGCCACUAUAGCUCCGAUUUGACCCCUAGCCUGGGAACUUCCAUAUGCCAUGGGUGCGGCCCUAAAAAGACAAUAAAAUAAAUAAUAGAAACUUACUUUUUAUGGUUAAUAAUAUUUAUAUUUAAUAAUACAAAUUCGUAAUAUUUUUGAUCAAUUGCAUAUUAACAAUAAAUGUAAUGAAACCCCAAUCCAGAGAAGAAAAUUUUGUGUAACUUUAGAGUUUACUGUCAUAGGAAAAUUUUAAAAAUUAUAUUUGUGUAUAAUAACAUUGCAGAGAAAUAUCAUAGGUUUAUCAGUAAAACACUUUAAAGCAUAAAUACUAGAGAAAAUUCUAAAGAGGAAUUAAAAAUGGUAAGUGUACAAGGAGAAAAACAAAUAGUAUAAAAUUUCAUGUUUUUGGGCCUGACAUGGCUCAGUAGUUGAUGAACUUGACUAGUAUCCAUGAGGAUAGGGGUUCGAUCCCUGGCCUUGAUCAGUGGGUUAAGGAUCUGGCAUUGCCGUGAGCUGUGGUGUAGGUUGC